rnacentral:snRNA from 1 species
GCACCCUUCGGGGUUGCACACGAUAAAAUUGGAACGAUACAGAGAAGUUGGUUUUUACCGCCACAGCCAAUGAACCGCUUAGUAAUGUCCUUUCCCACACCACCUAUAGCCUGCUAAUUACAUAAUCAUACUGAUUAUAGCAUGGCCCCUGCACAAGGAUGACACGCUUUUCCGGAGUGGUAGACCUACGGGUCUCAAUAUUUAU